UUGUUUGCCAGUCUUCAAGAGGUUUCUAAAGCUCCAGGAGUGCCUUUGGCCUCGUCUUUCCUUCCUUCACCACCUCCCUUAAGGCUCUGUGGUUCUUCCCUAAAGUCAGACCCUGGGCCAGGCAAGCAGGGAUGGGCACUGUGCUCCCUCCUAGUGCUCUGGCCACUGAAUCUGCCCUGCUAGGACAUCUGUGAACGGCUGGGGGCACUCUGUGGGCAGCCCGCAGGAGGGGUGGUAAGGGGCCAGAAGCCCAUCUCCCAGGGAAGCCAGGCCUUUGCAGACACUCACUUCACGUGCCCUGGUCUCUGGCACCGCCCUUUUCCCUCCCCCACUCCAGGGCAGGUCGUCAGGAGCUCUUCCCCUGCCGAGGACACUCAGGGGCCUGUACCCCAGAUGCUUGGCCCACUGCCCUCUUACUGCAGGCCGCGGCCUGCCCUGCAUGACAUCCCAGCCCUGCCCAGUGGGGAAGCGGCCAGGACGUUCAGUGCAGCCAUGUCGGCCCCGAACUCCAGCUGCACUUCACCAAGGCCACGCAGUAGCGUGCUCGUCCAGAUGCACAGCAAGACAGACUCCUCAAGCCUAAGCCGGGCGGCCCACCUGGAAGAGGAAGCGGGGCAGGUGCCCGCAGGCAGGGCUCACCAUGACACGGUGUGAGACCUCCGGCUACAACAUGGGACCCGGGCGCUGCUCCGACCCCUCGUGUCUUGUGUUGCAGCCGGAGGGACGCAGGUCCGCAGCAGAGCCUGCUUCCCGCCAGGGACCCGACGUGGCAGCAGCACGGAGACGGCGGGAAGGAAGGGUCAUUAUCUUGACAAUACACAGAACUGCAGAGCUACUGUGACUGCACCCUGACAGCGGUGGGGAGUGGAAUCGGGCGUUGUGUGAAUCCAAUCUUUCGAAGGAAAGAAAACCCCGUCCUGGAGUCAUGGCUGAAAAGCGCAGAAGACGCUGAGCAGGUCCCUCCAGGAGCCACUCGCGUUUGCAGGAGGCUUAGAGGAAGCUGUGUAUCUUUACAGGCCGCCUUGGGCACCCACUCGGGUGAGUGAAGGGCUGACCCGUACCUGUGACCUUCACUGCUGUUUGUCCGACUCACCCCCUGGGUCUUGCCACAGAGCUCAGGACCCUCUCGCCCCGUUCCCCCUCCCCUGCCUCAGCCACCCCUGUGUGCUGGUCCCCCAGGCCCUGAGAUAACCAGUAGCUAACCCCCUCCGUUAGCCUCUGCCCUCCCUGUGGUCGCCGGGUCCAGGGAGGCCCUCCCGGCUCCUGCGCCGCCCACAGAAGACAGACGGCGACCUGUGAGUUUCAGAGGCGUCUGUCCAUUACCACCGGUGCCCUGACUGCUCCUUCACCCCACCCGUCCCCCACAGUACCCAGCCCGGACCCCUCGACAGUGGGAAGGGGUGUCAGGUUUCCCGUCUCCGCGAGGGCCUUUGACUUUCUUUCUCAACAUAACAGGACUUCCAUGGGCAGCUGAGGGUGGUACAUUUUGCCAGGCAAUGUGCAUUCUUCCGAUCUCGCUCGCUUCUGGGACUUGACAGGCUGUGAUUUGUUUGUUUUUUGUGAGUAAGGCGCCACAGGCUGGGAAGGCGAUUGGCUGCCUUCAACCCUUUACCGCCCAGCUGUGAAGGCAGGUGACAAGGAGACUGUUCUUUGCUGUGUGUUCUCACUGGCCCAGCCCAGGAUCAGAGCAUCCAGGGGUCCUGGCGGGUGGGUGAUCCUGGUAAGGCUGUGAGAGCCUUGUCUCACCCGCAGGCCAGUGCUGCCAUUAUCUGAGCCCUUUCCGGGAGCCAGGCUCUGUGCUAAGUGCUUUGUUGCCAAGUUCGCUGUCUCACGUAGUCCUCAUAACAGCUCUCUGCGAGGUAGGUGUCAGCACCCCCAUCUUCCAGGAGAGGAACCUGAAAGGUUCAAUAAGGUGUCCACGGCCAGGACUGUAGACGGUGGUGUUGGACUCUGGCCCCGGCCCACCUGGACUCAUAAGCGGUAAGCUAGCUCAGCUCACAGCAGCACACCCACCACCAGCCUUACAAAGUGGGGGGACAGUUUCGUUAGAGUGCGAAGCAUUAGGGGUUCAAAUAACAAAUGGUUGUCCAAUGCAAGCCCAUGACAUGGUUAAAAAAAAAAGCACCUUUACACAGCUGGAAGCCCCGGUCUAAUUUCUCUCCCUCCGUUGUAACAUGGACCACCUCUAGCCCAGGUCCUCAAAUGGAACUUGAGGGUUUAAAUUUCUGCUGCUGUCCAAGACACCCUAACUCUUAGACCCCAGAACCCACCCAUCCUAGGAGUCCAGCCUGAGCGAACUCGCACUGUGGCCCUCUCAGCCCUUGCCCUGGGAUCUCCCAAAGUCUUUGUGGAAUCUUCUUUCACCCCCACCUCAGAGCAUAUCCUUGCUCCCCCUUCUGAGCUCGGGCAGGGCGGGGCGGGACGGGGCGGGGGUGGGGGCCACAGGUGCGGCCACUUGAAGCAGGAUCUUAGUUUCCUGACUGCCAAUUGAAUCCGGGCUGCCUCGGUGAAAACCAGGAAUCUUAAUGCCUAGACCACAAGGGCCAGCGGGCUUGAAACAGGACCUUGGUCCUUGUCUUCUCUGAAGAAAAUUCAACAAGGAGACAGAAGGUAGUGAAGCAGGAGACAAGCUCCAGCUGCCCAGCGGCCCAGCUAUCUCCUGUCUCACUUCCAAGGGUGUGAUGGUGCCAGAGGGGCUAAGCUGGUGUUUACUGAGGGAUGGCCAUCUAACCUUUUGAUCUUCAUCUCAGUCCUCCUGGUCUGUAACCAGGGUGAAAGGAAAGACUGGGUGCCCGGUGUGCCUCAGAUCCACCCCAGCCCUUCCUGUGCACCUCUUUUGAUUGUAAGGAACUACAUUUCACGGCUUCUUUACCACUGACCUUGGGAGGCAUGCCACGGGAGGCCUGGUGGAAAACUGGAGGGAGGGGAGGAAAUUCCCUACUGCUUUACUCUCUCCCUCUGCUCUUGCAUCUCAGCAGUGGCUGUGUUCCCUUCAAGGCUCCAGCUUCUGCCACGCAGCCCCUGCCUUAUGGUCCCAGCUCCCAUGGGGCCAUCUCACAGUUUCAGUAUCUGCAGGAGACCUGGUUUUGGCCCCUGGUCCCACCCUCUGCUCCCACUGUCUUCACGGGCCCUGGUGUGUUUGUGGCUUCCUGCUGUGGCUAAUCUCUGCUUUUCCACUGUUUCCUGUUGAAUUCCUCUGCGCUCCUGUAGCUUCAUCAACUGAUCCCCUGUAUUAAGUUCCUCUUUUCAAAGACCUAGAGGGAUUUCUGUUUUCCUGGGCAGACCCAGCUUUCACCAAGUGCUUUAUGAACCAUACUGCCUAGACAAAGGAAGAGGCUCUUGUUCCUCUGUUCCUCCCUGCCCAGCUUGGAAGUGAGGAGGGCAGAGCUCAUUUCUUUCUUUUUAAAGUCUAGAUUUGUUAUGAUUAUAGAAGUUACCUGUUAGUGAGGAAAGCUCUGAGCAUCAGUGAUGCGACCCUCCACUCAGACUGUGGGACUAUCCCCCUCUUUUU